rnacentral:rRNA from 1 species
UCCGUAGGUGAACCUGCGGAGGGAUCAUUACAAGUUGACCCCGGCCCUCGGGCCGGGAUGUUCACAACCCUUUGUUGUCCGACUCUGUUGCCUCCGGGGCGACCCUGCCUCCGGGCGGGGGCCCCGGGUGGACAUUUCAAACUCUUGCGUAACUUUGCAGUCUGAGUAAAUUUAAUUGAUAAAUUAAAACUUUCAACAACGGAUCUCUUGGUUCUGGCAUCGACGAAGAACGCAGCGAAAUGCGAUAAGUAAUGUGAAUUGCAGAAUUCAGUGAAUCAUCGAAUCUUUGAACGCACAUUGCGCCCCCUGGUAUUCCGGGGGGCAUGCCUGUUCGAGCGUCAUUUCACCACUCAAGCCUCGCUUGGUAUUGGGCGACGCGGUCCGCCGCGCGCCUCAAAUCGACCGGCUGGGUCUUUCGUCCCCUCAGCGUUGUGGAAACUAUUCGCUAAAGGGUGCCGCGGGAGGCCACGCCGUAAAACAACCCCAUUUCUAAGGUUGACCUCGGAUCAGGUAGGGAUACCCGCUGAACUUAAGCAUAUCAAUAAGCGGAGGA